AGCGUACACGGUGGAUGCCCUGGCAGUCAGAGGCGAUGAAGGGCGUGCUAAUCUGCGAUAAGCGCCGGUAAGGUGAUAUGAACCGUUAUAACCGGCGAUACCCGAAUGGGGAAACCCAGUGUGAUUCGUCACACUAUCAUUAACUGAAUCCAUAGGUUAAUGAGGCGAACCGGGGGAACUGAAACAUCUAAGUACCCCGAGGAAAAGAAAUCAACCGAGAUUCCCCCAGUAGCGGCGAGCGAACGGGGAGGAGCCCAGAGCCUGAAUCAGCAUGUGUGUUAGUGGAAGCGUCUGGAAAGGCGCGCGAUACAGGGUGACAGCCCCGUACACAAAAGCGCAUGUGCUGUGAGCUCGAUGAGUAGGGCGGGACACGUGGUAUCCUGUCUGAAUAUGGGGGGACCAUCCUCCAAGGCUAAAUACUCCUGACUGACCGAUAGUGAACCAGUACCGUGAGGGAAAGGCGAAAAGAACCCCGGCGAGGGGAGUGAAAAAGAACCUGAAACCGUGUACGUACAAGCAGUGGGAGCNGCUUUGGGGUGGGGUGACUGCGUACCUUUUGUAUAAUGGGUCAGCGACUUAUAUUCUGUAGCAAGGUUAACCGAAUAGGGGAGCCGGAGGGAAACCGAGUCUUAAUUGGGCGUUAAGUUGCAGGGUAUAGACCCGAAACCCGGUGAUCUAGCCAUGGGCAGGUUGAAGGUUGGGUAACACUAACUGGAGGACCGAACCGACUAAUGUUGAAAAAUUAGCGGAUGACCUGUGGCUGGGGGUGAAAGGCCAAUCAAACCGGGAGAUAGCUGGUUCUCCCCGAAAGCUAUUUAGGUAGCGCCUCGUGAAUUCAUCUCCGGGGGUAGAGCACUGUUUCGGCUAGGGGGCCAUCCCGGCUUACCAACCCGAUGCAAACUGCGAAUACCGGAGAAUGUUAUCACGGGAGACACACGGCGGGUGCUAACGUCCGUCGUGAAGAGGGAAACAACCCAGACCGCCAGCUAAGGUCCCAAAGUCAUGGUUAAGUGGGAAACGAUGUGGGAAGGCCCAGACAGCCAGGAUGUUGGCUUAGAAGCAGCCAUCAUUUAAAGAAAGCGUAAUAGCUCACUGGUCGAGUCGGCCUGCGCGGAAGAUGUAACGGGGCUAAACCAUGCACCGAAGCUGCGGCAGCGACGCUUAUGCGUUGUUGGGUAGGGGAGCGUUCUGUAAGCCUGUGAAGGUGGCCUGUGAGGGUUGCUGGAGGUAUCAGAAGUGCGAAUGCUGACAUAAGUAACGAUAAAGCGGGUGAAAAGCCCGCUCGCCGGAAGACCAAGGGUUCCUGUCCAACGUUAAUCGGGGCAGGGUGAGUCGACCCCUAAGGCGAGGCCGAAAGGCGUAGUCGAUGGGAAACGGGUUAAUAUUCCCGUACUUGGUGUUACUGCGAAGGGGGGACGGAGAAGGCUAUGUUGGCCGGGCGACGGUUGUCCCGGUUUAAGCGUGUAGGUGUGUGUUCCAGGUAAAUCCGGUUCACUUUAACACUGAGGCGUGAUGACGAGGCACUACGGUGCUGAAGCAACAAAUGCCCUGCUUCCAGGAAAAGCCUCUAAGCAUCAGGUAACAUCAAAUCGUACCCCAAACCGACACAGGUGGUCAGGUAGAGAAUACCAAGGCGCUUGAGAGAACUCGGGUGAAGGAACUAGGCAAAAUGGUGCCGUAACUUCGGGAGAAGGCACGCUGACACGUAGGUGAAGUGAUUUACUCAUGGAGCUGAAGUCAGUCGAAGAUACCAGCUGGCUGCAACUGUUUAUUAAAAACACAGCACUGUGCAAACACGAAAGUGGACGUAUACGGUGUGACGCCUGCCCGGUGCCGGAAGGUUAAUUGAUGGGGUCAGCGCAAGCGAAGCUCCUGAUCGAAGCCCCGGUAAACGGCGGCCGUAACUAUAACGGUCCUAAGGUAGCGAAAUUCCUUGUCGGGUAAGUUCCGACCUGCACGAAUGGCGUAAUGAUGGCCAGGCUGUCUCCACCCGAGACUCAGUGAAAUUGAACUCGCUGUGAAGAUGCAGUGUACCCGCGGCAAGACGGAAAGACCCCGUGAACCUUUACUAUAGCUUGACACUGAACAUUGAGCCUUGAUGUGUAGGAUAGGUGGGAGGCUUUGAAGCGUGGACGCCAGUCUGCGUGGAGCCGACCUUGAAAUACCACCCUUUAAUGUUUGAUGUUCUAACGUGGACCCGUAAUCCGGGUUGCGGACAGUGUCUGGUGGGUAGUUUGACUGGGGCGGUCUCCUCCUAAAGAGUAACGGAGGAGCACGAAGGUUGGCUAAUCCUGGUCGGACAUCAGGAGGUUAGUGCAAUGGCAUAAGCCAGCUUGACUGCGAGCGUGACGGCGCGAGCAGGUGCGAAAGCAGGUCAUAGUGAUCCGGUGGUUCUGAAUGGAAGGGCCAUCGCUCAACGGAUAAAAGGUACUCCGGGGAUAACAGGCUGAUACCGCCCAAGAGUUCAUAUCGACGGCGGUGUUUGGCACCUCGAUGUCGGCUCAUCACAUCCUGGGGCUGAAGUAGGUCCCAAGGGUAUGGCUGUUCGCCAUUUAAAGUGGUACGCGAGCUGGGUUUAGAACGUCGUGAGACAGUUCGGUCCCUAUCUGCCGUGGGCGCUGGAGAACUGAGGGGGGCUGCUCCUAGUACGAGAGGACCGGAGUGGACGCAUCACUGGUGUUCGGGUUGUCAUGCCAAUGGCACUGCCCGGUAGCUAAAUGCGGAAGAGAUAAGUGCUGAAAGCAUCUAAGCACGAAACUUGCCCCGAGAUGAGUUCU
rnacentral:rRNA from 1 species